GAACCCCAAACUCUGUUUCAGCAUAUGAUUCCAGAGAAUCCUACCUGCAGCAGUCACUGAGUGUAAACAUGAAGGAAAGGAAAAACAGAAAGACAAUGAAAAUGAAUUUGAAGAAAAUGUAUUUGCAGGAUGUGGGCGAUAAAGGACUGCACAAAGCAGCAUGAAUUCCAGGGCUGAGACUUGCUUCAAGUUAUCUAUCUACCAUCUUCAACUGCGUGCCUGCAAAUGAGAUGCCAAGGGUCACUCUGUGUCAGGACUUGAACAGAGAGGUUCAGAAUCUUGGCUUUCACACAGGACAUUAGAGGCUCAGCAGUCACCCUGGUUGUCUUCACCCACGUGGAAAGUUCCUGCCUUCUUACAAUCCCACCCCUUGAGACACCCUGCAUCCCAGCCCUUGAGACACCCUCUCCCAGGAUCUUGGCACCGGUUGGGAAAUCUUCAACUCUAAUGUCAUAAAUUCUGACCGUAAUUAUCCCUGCAUGUUUUGCCUUCACUUGUUCCCUAUAUGCAGAUUUUCUAUCCUAUGUAGAUCCUCAAUGACAUUUGAUUCUAUUGACUCUUUCUUAGUUCUUAAAACAGUUUCUGGCCUCAGCUUCAUAUAUUAGUGAAUUUCCUGCCAUCUCCCUGGCCCUUCCUUCACUGUAACCUCUGUAGUUUUAUCCUCCUUUACAUAGUCAUUAAAUGUCAUAUUUCAUAUGACUUCAUCCUACCCCCCUUCACUUUUCACUAUGCUAUCGCUCGAUUGUCACUUCUUUUUCCAUGCACUGAGACACUUAUUUUUUAAAAAAUCUGAGGCUAAGGUGAAGGAAGAAACCACUACUUAUUAACUGAAACACAAAGCUGAAUUUAUUAUUUACUUCAUGGGAUUUUUACAGUUUAGAGAAUGGGUUGAUAUCAACCUGGAAGCAUGAUCGCUUGGGGAACACUGCAGUGAGAUGGUCAACUUUUUUGUAUGUUCACCAGAGUGAAGCUCUUGCCCAUUGGUUGUCUUUCAAAAGAAGGACAUUAUUGCUCAUUAACUGGCUUUCAAAAACCUUUCUCUGAGCAAAUUAUCAUGGAUUGAUUAAGUGGGUUUAAGGCUGAUUGUAGUGGUAACUUGUUACUGUAGCUACAAAACAAUAAGUUGUUUCUGAGGAGUAUAGGAAAUUAUUAAAUUUCUUAUUGAGCUGUGUUUUUAAAAAAUUGAACUUCAGGCAUCCAAAUAUGUAUUCACUGUUCCAACUUGGAUAUCUCAAAAGCAUUUGAACUCAACACAUCCAAAGGAAAAUGUGUGUUUUUCCUUCCAAACUUUAUCUUUCUCUUGAAAGACACAUCUGCCCAUCCAGAUUAGGAUCUGGCAAACUUUUUCUGUAAAGGGGUAGACAAUAAAUAUUUCAGGUUUCGCAAGACAUGUAAUCUCUAUUGUGACUACUCAACUCUGCCACUGUGGUGCAAAGGCAGCCACAGACAGCACAUAAACAAAUGGGCAUGUUCGUGUUCCAAUAAAACUUUAUUUUCAAAACCAGAAAAAGGCUGGAUUUGGCCCAUGGGUCAUGAUUUGGCCAUCAUGGAUUUAGAUGAUCAAGACAUAAACAUAGGAAGUAUUUCAGAUAGUUCUUUCUCU